GAGUUUGAUCAUGGCUCAGGAUGAACGCUAGCGGCGCGCCUAAUGCAUGCAAGUCGAGCGAUGAGGCACCUUUGGGUGUACAUCAGCGGCAGACGGGUGAGUAACACGUAGGUGACCUACCCCGAAGACGGGGAUAACAGGUGGAAACAUCUGCUAAUACCCGAUGGACUCUGAGCGGAAGCGAGGAGUAAAGGCUACGGUGCUUCGGGAGGGGCCUGCGGCCUAUCAGCUAGUUGGUAGGGUAACGGCCUACCAAGGCGAAGACGGGUAGGGGUGUGGAGAGCACGGCCCCCCACCAA
rnacentral:rRNA from 1 species